ensembl:lncRNA
GAGGUUGGUCUCUGCAAUUAUAUGGGCAAUCUGACCUUGCGGAGGUGGUUAGCUUAUCCUUCAGAUUGUUCAAUGCCCAACAGAAACAGAUGUGAUCCACAAGGAUUCCUGCCAGUACCGAUAGAACCUGCUGUUCUGCUAGAAAUUUUAACCGUACCGGUUUUGCAAUUUCAAGAGAUUUAUCUCAUCACACUGUUUUGCUUGGUAUUCACAUAGUCUUCUGUUACUAAUAAGAAGUCUGCUGGAGCAACAUUGUGGCCAUAGUUCAUGACCCCCCAUUAGGGAAACAGUUCUUUCUUGUGUGUGAAAAUGCACCUCUUAGAAUUCUUGGGACACUCCUCCAUCUUGACAGGGCAGCCUACUGUCUUGAAUUUCCCAGAGGAGUUGUAUUCAUCCCAAAUUUCCUGUGUUCUGUUAACAAAUUCUCCCUAUUCCCUCUUUUACUGCUAUUCUAUACUUCCUCAAGUGAUGGAAGACUUUAAAGGUAUUUUACUUGUACUGGGCAACGUCCUGCUGAUUUUUCUGCCUUCACAAGUCACUUUUCCCUCAAUCCACUAGGUGAUUUUGGUUGUCUUGCCAAUUGUCUUUACUUUGCUAUACCUUGAAAUACUUCUGUGAUAGCUGUAGAACUACAUAGUGAAUGUCAUCAAGUGCUAUGAAAACCAUCAAAUAAAAAGGAAAACACUGCCUUGUGCGGAUUUAUGAUAUGUGUGUUUUUUUAAAAAAAAAUUAUUUGAUGUUGCUGGCAAAAUUUUAUGGAAAUAUUCUGUUUGUUGUUAUAAUGCUGUGCCCAAUAUGAUCUCUUGAAGCAUCAGGUUUUGAUGUUCAUUCAAAAGCACUACUUUGCAUUAUUCUUCAGGCUUCACAGAUUAAGACUGUAGAAGGUUACUCAGCUUAAACUUCUCUCCUGCAUCUCUGUUUUUCAAAUUGCUGAAAGUGGAUAUGGUCCAUUCAAGUUUUUGAUAUUUUUAGUGAUUUUUUUUCCUACCAUACAUUUCUAAAGUUCAGAGAAUAUGUGGCGUUUCUACUGUCAUCCUUAUGCAGGUUGCUCUUCACCAGUUGAUCUUUUUCUUGUUUUUGUUGUACUUUUCUAUGAUAUUUGCACUUCAGUCUCUUUCCAUUCAAUAUUUCAUAUUCUUUAGUUUUCUUGUUCAUUACAAUUCAGCUAAGCUUAUGAGUUUAGAAUUUUAAUGAAUAAUUCAGUCCUGUUCUGAGCAUUAUACAGGUAUUACUAGGAGUAAGUGUUCACAUUAUUUUCCAGAAUCAAGCCAAUUCUAGUGUGCAGAAUAAAAGUGAUAUGAAUAGACCGAAUCACAAAAUUUAUGCUAAUUUCUGUUGCAACUCAUUCAUGUAGGCCCCCACUGUAUUUUGAUUUGUUUCUUGACUUGAAAAUCUUAAGUAAGGAAAUGAAGAUUGGUUCUAAGCUGAAAUACUUCACAUGAUUACGGACAUAGAGAGCAUUUUCUCGUAUAUCUAAAUGUACAAGGUUGGAAAUGUUCGUUUGUAUACAUGAUACAUAUGUGAUUCUUAGUUCAGUAAAUCUAGCUUAUUUUUAUAAUUGUCUUUAUAACUAAAUUGUUUUUAAGUAAUGAAAUAGGAUAACUGUAGUAGAAGUUAAAUAAAGAAUAGAGAAGUAAAUGUAUUUUAUUUUCCAG